AUUGAACGCUGGCGGCAUGCCUUACACAUGCAAGUCGAACGGCAGCGCGGACUUCGGUCUGGCGGCGAGUGGCGAACGGGUGAGUAACAUAUCGGAACGUGCCAGGAAGUGGGGGAUAACUAGUCGAAAGAUUAGCUAAUACCGCAUACGCCCCGAGGGGGAAAGUGGGGGAUCGCAAGACCUCAUGCUUGCUGAGCGGCCGAUAUCUGAUUAGCUAGUUGGUGGGGUAAAGGCCCACCAAGGCGACGAUCAGUAGCUGGUCUGAGAGGACGACCAGCCACACUGGGACUGAGACACGGCCCAGACUCCUACGGGAGGCAGCAGUGGGGAAUUUUGGACAAUGGGGGCAACCCUGAUCCAGCAAUGCCGCGUGAGUGAAGAAGGCCUUCGGGUUGUAAAGCUCUUUUGUCCGGGAGGAAAUCCCACCUGCUAAUACCGGGUGGGGAUGACGGUACUGGAAGAAUAAGCACCGGCUAACUACGUGCCAGCAGCCGCAGUAAGAC
rnacentral:rRNA from 1 species